GCUAAUCCUGGUCGGACAUCAGGAGGUUAGUGCAAUGGCAUAAGCCAGCUUGACUGCGAGCGUGACGGCGCGAGCAGGUGCGAAAGCAGGUCAUAGUGAUCCGGUGGUUCUGAAUGGAAGGGCCAUCGCUCAACGGAUAAAAGGUACUCCGGGGAUAACAGGCUGAUACCGCCCAAGAGUUCAUAUCGACGGCGGUGUUUGGCACCUCGAUGUCGGCUCAUCACAUCCUGGGGCUGAAGUAGGUCCCAAGGGUAUGGCUGUUCGCCAUUUAAAGUGGUACGCGAGCUGGGUUUAGAACGUCGUGAGACAGUUCGGUCCCUAUCUGCCGUGGGCGCUGGAGAACUGAGGGGG
rnacentral:rRNA from 1 species